rnacentral:lncRNA from 1 species
CUAACAUCCAUAUCUAUUCCAUUACCUUCUUAUUGCUAUCAUGAUUAUGAUUAUUAUUACUGUUCUAUAUUCCAUUUUAUUCUGUCCUGUCCUGUUCUAUAUUCUAUUCUAUAUUCCAUUCUAUUCUAUUCUAUUUUGUUCUGUUCUAUAUUCUAUUUUAUUCUGUUCUAUAUUCCAUUCCAUUCCAUUCCAUUUGGUUCUGUUCUGUUUUAUAUUCUAUAAUCUAUUCUAUUCUAUAUUCUGUUCUGUUCUGUUCCGUUCCAUUCUGUUCUGUUCUGUUUCAUUCUGUUCCAUUCCUAUUUUUCUGUUCUGUUCUGUUCUGUUCUGUUCUGUUCUAUUCUACUCCAUAUUCUAUUCCAUUCCANNNNNNNNNNGUUCUGUUCUAUUCUACUCCAUAUUCUAUUCCAUUCCAUUCCAUUCCAUUCCUAUUUCUUUAUUCUGUUCUAUUCUAUUCUAUUCUACUCCAUAUUUUAUUCUAUUCCAUAUUCCAUUCCAUUCCAUUCCAUUCCUAUUUUUAUUCUGUUCUGUUCUGUUCUAUUCUACUCCAUAUUCUAUUCUAUUCCAUAUUCUAUUCUAUUCCAUUCCAUUCCAUUCCAUUCCUAUUUCUUUAUUCUGUUCUGUUCUGUUCUAUUCUACUCCAUAUUCUAUUCUAUUCCAUAUUCUAUUCCAUUCCAUAUCUAUUUCUUUAUUCUGUUCUGUUCUGUUCUGUUCUGUUCUAUUCUAUUCUACUCCAUAUUCCAUUCUAUUCCAUAUUCUAUUCUAUUCCAUUCCAUUCCUAUUUCUUUAUUCUGUUCUGUUCCGUUCUAUUAAUUAUUUGUUCCUAUUCUCUGUGGUAUUUGUUUGCAUCAUUUCUUCAAAGUGUCAAUUUAAAAAAAAUAAAGGUAAAUAAGUGUUGAAAUUCUGACACACACUUCUCCCAACAAGUUCAUUGGGCUCUUUCAGUAAGGUUAGAAGCAUUCGGCAUUUUACAGAGGGGAAACAAUGGCUUCUUUUUACCUUUUAAUAUUUUAUGUUUUUGCUGUGCAUCGUCUGUCACUGCUCGGCCGCAAGGAAAAGUAUCUGAUAGGGUGAACUUCCUGCCUCUUUAGCUGAAUAAUUUGGGGUUUGGGCUGAAGUCUUUUCAAUGUCUUUUUUUUUUAAUUGUUAUUCUCCUACCCAGUUUUACUUUGCUCCUCCCGUAGAAGGCAGAUAGUCCUUGACUUAGAACCAUCCCUUUAGUGACCGUUUGAA